AUGAAUCGCAUCCCAGACAUUGGAGUUUAUGUCAUGGUUUGGUUUCUGAAGCAAGAGACGUGGAGCCGCGGCCAGAUCAUCAGAAUCUGUCAGAUGAGUCGAGAGUCAGUGCUGGACAUCAGAUUGUGCUUCAUCAUGGAUGACACGCAAACAUCCAGAGAUGAAGAGUUUUCUCCAGGAUUCAGUUCAGUUGAUCAGAAGAGAUCAGAAGCAGAGUCCAGCUGUGUGUCUCUGAGGAGUGACCGGUCUAUGGGUCAUCCAUUAGCUUUUAAGAGUGGAGAUACACAGACUGAUCUCAGUUCAGUUCAUCAGAAGAGAUCAGAGUCCAGCUGUGUGUCUGUGAGGAGUGACACAUCUAUGAAUCAGUCAUUAGAUUAUAAGAGUGAAGAAACAAAGACUGAUCCCAGGUCUAAUAUUUCUGUAAAAGAUGAUUUGAAUAUGAUACAGAAUACAGAAAGACACUGUUAUCAUUAGCUUAUUUAAUAAUGCAGUAUAUUAAUUUUCCAGCCAUGAAGUCCUCAAGAUGUUUAGAUCAAAUCUUCUGAAGAAGUUUGAGCGUCUGUAUGAGGGCACAGCGAUGCAGAGAAACCCAACAC
ensembl:lncRNA